CGACGAACUCCCAGCCACUCCGAGGAAGAGGGGGGGGGAGGAGAGUUCAAGUGACGUAAGCGUCAGUCUUUUUUUUAAAAAAAGCACUGUAGUGAGAACGCAGCAUAGAGGUUCCUAUACCUUUAAAAAUGACAUGACAGAAGAAGAGGGUUUCUUACAGAGAGGGUUCCAAUUGGACUCGUGGUUCAGCUACAAAUCUUAUAAGAGUUACAUUUUCGUUAUUGAAAAUAUUUAUCUGACUGGCUUAUCGUAAGAAAACUACUGUUUAAAAAAAAUCGGAAAGAUGAGUGAAUGUUAAAACCAGCAAAAGCUUUCAGUACUUAGACUCCUAACAUGGAGGACUCGGGCCCUGUCAUUUGAGAACCUGAGCUCUUUAUAGAAAAUCACUCUCAGUAUAACUCUUAGGUUCGGUCCACUUGAGAUUCUGUCCGGCCGGAGAGGGGAAGGGGGCCACGCGGGCGCGGGAUGGUGGUCAAGAUUUUUCCUUUGGAGUUGAAAAGAAUCUUCCCAUCUGGUAAUUCUGGAAGUUCCGGCUCUGGAAGUUCUGCUUGCGAGCACGUGGGGAAGGUCACGUGAUUGAAUUUGCUGUGGUCAGUUGGUUUACAGAAAACUUACUCAGCAUUCCAAUUAUCGUGUUUUUUACCGUGACCGUAUUUUCUUGGGGAAAAAAAAUAAAGCACGGUCUGAGAAAAGGGGAAAUCUGAAAGAGGUUCAUGAAGAUAAAAAAAAAAUGUAGUGGUUUAUAAUUUUGUUUUAGAAAGGGAAGCUCAAGAGCAAAAGCAAGACAAUUAAAAAAAAAAUAAAAAUAAAUCUGAAGAAUGGUUUUCUGAAAUAAAGGGCUGUCCAAUAAAAGGCAUUUAUAAUAAAAGAUAUAUAGUCAUUAUGUUUGCCAAACAAAAUUUAGACUUAUUCUGAGUGGAUUUCGGAGAGUUUAGAGCCAGAGACUGUAGAUACAGAUAUAGACCAUAUAUCUGGAUAUAUCUAGAUGGAUAGAUAGAUAGAUUUGUAUAAAUAUAAUAUUCAAGUUAUACGUAAAUAUGAAAUAAGUAUUAUAAAUCAGUUCAUAAUACAGACUUAACUAUACAAAAAAUAUUCUCUGGAGAGGCAUUCCACAACUGGAACAUCAAAACAAGCAAUUGCAUGUCUCAUAUAGAUAGUCCUCAAUUUAUGACUGCUUGCUUAAUGACUGUUAGAAGAGGGCUUAUGAACUGGAUCUGAAAUUCCAAAUGUUGGGUUCUCCCCACAUUCAUGUGACUGCACUUUGGGUGCUUGACAACACAGCUGCAUUUAUGCCAUCUGCAUAAUCACGUGGCCACAUUGUACAACACUUUUGCCAAAAUGAUCACCACAAAAACUGGAAAAUGGUUCUAUGACAAUUACAACUGUAAAUGGCCACAAUUUAUUUCAGUCAUAACUCAAGGACUCUGUAACUCAAGGACUCUGUAAUGUACCAGUGAUAUUUGAAGAACCCAGUUAAUCUUCAGAUGAAAGAUCUUCAGACUGGAACAAGAAUCUUGCUACCAAAUUAAAUAUUUAAAGAAAACCACCAUGCACUGGUCUUGGAAGCAAAGAGAUGGCCAGGGCAGCUGUUUUACAACAUAAUGUAAUAUAAUUUUAUCUGGUUGUAUCUGUUACAAUUUUAGCUGCAACAUUCUACACUUUUUGGUAUUGUCUUCAUGUGCUGUCCAUGAAGCUUGCAUUAUAUAGCAAAGAAGAAAAGGAGAAAAAUAGAAUAAGUGCUAUUCUUUGUUUAGUCUCACAAGUUGAUAUUUUUAUAUAUCAUUAUGAAAACAAAUAUAAAAAACAUAAGCAGAAAAAAUGACCACUAUUAUUACAGUGUCAUCUGAUGGUUUGAUCCUGGCUUUUGAGUAUCAUCUAAAGUUAAUGCACUGAAAGUUAAUGCACUCUUACAAUACUUUUGGAGCAUAUCUGUUCUUAUUUCAAUGUACUGUAUCAUGGACUCUCAGCCUUUUCGCAAUUAAAGAUGCAUUUACUAGAA